AAAGAAAGAAAAAAUGAAAAACGGAAGAUUCAUAUUUUUAAGUUGGGGAGGUACAGCGAAAGGCUCCGGGGUGGUUCGUCGAUGCUACGGUGUGUAACGUACGUACGCCCGUAGAGUUACAUAGGUAUAUUUUAUCCAGCUAUCUACCUAGGGACACUAAAUUGGAAGAAAUACCCUGCCGACGUUGGGGGCGCCAGUCACUGCGGGGGCCCUGGGGGGUAUUGAUUUACAAUACGGGCUGACUGCUCAACGAUGGCCGGGGCCAGGGCCGGUUGGUUCGACGUGUAUAUAUAUAUAUAUAUAUAUAACCGGCUCAUUGUCGGUGUGGUGUACUUCCCCGUGUUCCGGAAGGCUCUGUGUGUAUAUAUAUAUACGCGUAUGACGCGAAAGACAGCUACGCGUGUCUCUACUACGUUCCACGUACCCACCUACCCACCUACCCUCCGCGUCGCCUCAGAGUCCCGGGGACCCCGCGGGUGACACUUGGGCGUCGCUACUUAACUCGCUAGUUUCCCCCUUUCCCAGUCAAACUUCUGUACAGUAUGUACGUACGUACGUAUACAUACAUAUAUCGCGCGACGUGCGGUAGUUUCAGGAACCGGAAGUACGUUGCGUCACUAUCUUGGCCCACCCACCCUACGAGUCUUCCUAAUUCCUUCCCAUUCCUAAUCCUCUUUCUACUCCCGCGACGUACGCUCUGACUUUUGCAAAUGCAUCGAAUUACCGACGGUUCGUAUAGCUCCGCAUCACCCCGCACGCACCCCGUGGCGAACGCGUUCGUCCGUUCGACGAAUCGGACGUUAAUCUGAAAAUUCUUACGCAACUACAUCGUAUACUGCGUAUGAUCUGCAUUAUAUGUAUAUUAUAUACUUGGGAAUUUCUCUUUUCUCGUUUUUUUUUUUUCUUUUAUUUUUUCGUUUUUUUUCUUUCGGUUCAAUCGUCCGAGUACGUGGUUGAUAGCUUAUCGGAUAAUGUCGCGUAUAUGAUGCGUACAUAGAGGUAUUAUAAAACUGAGUUUUAGCGACCGUGGAAGUAAAUUCAAUUGCAACGCGAUCGUGAUCACGAUGAGAUCUGUUUACGACGUCGUUCGUCACUCUUUGCGACGCCCUCGAUUCCGUUGCUAAAAUUGACGAUCCGCAGAUCGAUGGACAUCAAUUAUAAUGUUCUGUUAUACAUCAUACUCAAAGGUGUCCGUACCAACGAGUCCAAGAGCAUAUUAUAUACCUGUUUCUCCCGAAAGGGAAGAACAAGGGUUCUCACGGAGGUGGUAUAGAAAAAUCAUCGUCGAACGAAUCACGCGAAAGGUUAAAUUAAAGAGGAUCGAAAGAGAACAGCGCUCCGUCGUAGGUAGACACACGUAUACCGACGCUUAAGGCGAGUUCACGUACCGCCCGCGUCCGCGAUCACCCCGCAAAUUCUUGGAAGCAAACGUUGACGGAUAUGCGGAUAUAAAAAAGGACGCGGUCGAUCGUCGGUACGUAUCUUUAUUAGAGACGAGCGUCGCGUGUAACGAGCCAUUAUUUAAUUUAGCCAACGUAUAAUCUAUGUGCGGAAAGACGCGAAUAACACGGUAUACCGCUUGCAGCGUUUCGAGAAAUUUCAUUUCAUCUUCAGAUCGUCCUGCGCCUCGUACAUGAAUAUACGUGUAGGACGACACGUCUGUAGAUUCUGUCCACACUUACGAGUGCGGCGGACACGCACGUACGUAGUAGAGAUACAGGCGCACACGUGUUGUAUAAGAGGAGGCAAUUCGAGGGGCAGGUUGGCAACAUCGCCGAAAAUUGAGAGAGAGCCAGUCCGGAGAACCAUCUGGUCUCAUCCUUGGCGUAGAGCAGCAGCAGCUGCGGCAACGCGAUGUGAUGAUCCUGCGGCCGUACGUCACGAUCGGAGGCGAAACAACGUUUGAAAAAAAAUCCCGAACAACUCAACUCAACUCGCUCCACGACGCGCAACUGAAUUCACGCGUGGGACACGACGCCACGCUUUUCCACCCUCCGCAGUAGCGAACCAAUUUCCCUGGAAAUAUAUAUCAUCGACUCGCCUUUAAUUAAUUAGAAAAAUCGAGGAAAUUUGUCGAGAAACUUCCAUUUUUUCUAUCGAAGAAUUUUAUUGAUGUGGAUGUUGUGUACGCCCUGGUUGGCGAUUAUUACGCGACCGCAGUGAUUGUUAUAAUAUAGGAUGGCGAUAACGAUACCGGUCGAUUUUUCUAUUUAUAACAACACAAUCGGUACGUACGUUUUAAAUACCGAAAUAAACUGGUUACCGAUGUAUGUACA